AUUGAACGCUGGCGGCAGGCCUAACACAUGCAAGUCGAGCGGAAACGAGAAUAGCUUGCUAUUCGGCGUCGAGCGGCGGACGGGUGAGUAAUGCCUGGGAAAUUGCCCUGAUGUGGGGGAUAACCAUUGGAAACGAUGGCUAAUACCGCAUAAUAGCUUCGGCUUAAAGAGGGGGACCUUCGGGCCUCUCGCUUCAGGAUAUGCCCAGGUGGGAUUAGCUAGUUGGUGAGGUAAGGGCUCACCAAGGCGACGAUCCCUAGCUGGUCUGAGAGGAUGAUCAGCCACACUGGAACUGAGACACGGUCCAGACUCCUACGGGAGGCAGCAGUGGGGAAUAUUGCACAAUGGGCGCAAGCCUGAUGCAGCCAUGCCGCGUGUAUGAAGAAGGCCUUCGGGUUGUAAAGUACUUUCAGCAGUGAGGAAGGGUGUGUAGUUAAUAGCUGCAUACUUUGACGUUAGCUGCAGAAGAAGCACCGGCUAACUCCGUGCCAGCAACCGCGGUAAUACGGAGGGUGCGAGCGUUAAUCGGAAUUACUGGGCGUAAAGCGCAUGCAGGUGGUUUGUUAAGUCAGAUGUGAAAGCCCGGGGCUCAACCUCGGAACCGCAUUUGAAACUGGCAGGCUAGAGUACUGUAGAGGGA
rnacentral:rRNA from 1 species